rnacentral:rRNA from 1 species
AGUCGAGCGGAGAUGAGGUGCUUGCACCUUAUCUUAGCGGCGGACGGGUGAGUAAUGCUUAGGAAUCUGCCUAUUAGUGGGGGACAACAUUCCGAAAGGAAUGCUAAUACCGCAUACGUCCUACGGGAGAAAGCAGGGGAUCUUCGGACCUUGCGCUAAUAGAUGAGCCUAAGUCGGAUUAGCUAGUUGGUGGGGUAAAGGCCUACCAAGGCGACGAUCUGUAGCGGGUCUGAGAGGAUGAUCCGCCACACUGGGACUGAGACACGGCCCAGACUCCUACGGGAGGCAGCAGUGGGGAAUAUUGGACAAUGGGGGGAACCCUGAUCCAGCCAUGCCGCGUGUGUGAAGAAGGCCUUAUGGUUGUAAAGCACUUUAAGCGAGGAGGAGGCUACUGAGACUAAUACUCUUGGAUAGUGGACGUUACUCGCAGAAUAAGCACCGGCUAACUCUGUGCCAGCAGCCGCGGUAAUACAGAGGGUGCGAGCGUUAAUCGGAUUUACUGGGCGUAAAGCGUGCGUAGGCGGCUUUUUAAGUCGGAUGUGAAAUCCCCGAGCUUAACUUGGGAAUUGCAUUCGAUACUGGGAAGCUAGAGUAUGGGAGAGGAUGGUAGAAUUCCAGGUGUAGCGGUGAAAUGCGUAGAGAUCUGGAGGAAUACCGAUGGCGAAGGCAGCCAUCUGGCCUAAUACUGACGCUGAGGUACGAAAGCAUGGGGAGCAAACAGGAUUAGAUACCCUGGUAGUCCAUGCCGUAAACGAUGUCUACUAGCCGUUGGGGCCUUUGANGCUUUAGUGGCGCAGCUAACGCGAUAAGUANACCGCCUGGGGAGUACGGUCGCAAGACUAAAACUCAAAUGAAUUGACGGGGGCCCG